rnacentral:rRNA from 1 species
GGACUGCUCAGUAAUACUCACUUUAUUUUAUGUAAAUUUUUAAUUAACUACGUUAAAGUGUAGAUAAGAUGUUUACAGUAAGAGUGAGACCUAUCAGCUAGUUGUUAAGGUAAUGGCUUAACAAGGCUGUGACGGGUAACGGUAUUACUUUGUAAUAUUCCGGAGAAGGAGCCUGAGAGACGGCUACUAAGUCUAAGGAUUGCAGCAGGGGCGAAACUUGACCUAUGGAUUUUAUCUGAGGCAGUUAUGGGAAGUAAUAUUAUAUUGUUUCAUAUUUUAAAAGUAUAUGAGGUGAUUAAUUGGAGGGCAAAUCAAGUGCCAGCAGCCGCGGUAAUACUUGUUCCAAGAGUGUGUAUGAUGAUUGAUGCAGUUAAAAAGUCCGUA